UACGGAGGGUGCGAGCGUUGUCCGGAAUUAUUGGGCGUAAAGGGCUCGUAGGCGGUCUGUUGCGUCAGGAGUGAAAACUCGGGGCUUAACCCCGAGCCUGCUUCUGAUACGGGCAGACUAGAGGUAUGCAGGGGAGAAUGGAAUUCCCGGUGUAGCGGUGAAAUGCGCAGAUAUCGGGAGGAACACCGGUGGCGAAGGCGGUUCUCUGGGCCUUACCUGACGCUGAGGAGCGAAAGCGUGGGGAGCGAACAGG
rnacentral:rRNA from 1 species